AACGAACGCUGGCGGCAGGCCUAACACAUGCAAGUCGAACGGGACCUUCGGGUCUAGUGGCGGACGGGUGAGUAACGCGUGGGAACGUGCCCUUUGGUUCGGAAUAGCCUCGGGAAACUGGGAGUAAUACCGGAUACGGUCGGAAGACGAAAGAUUUAUCGCCGAAGGAUCGGCCCGCGUUGGAUUAGGUAGUUGGUGGGGUAAAGGCCUACCAAGCCGACGAUCCAUAGCUGGUUUGAGAGGAUGAUCAGCCACACUGGGACUGAGACACGGCCCAGACUCCUACGGGAGGCAGCAGUGGGGAAUCUUAGACAAUGGGGGAAACCCUGAUCUAGCCAUGCCGCGUGAGUGAUGAAGGCCUUCGGGUCGUAAAACUCUUUCGCGCACGACGAUAAUGACGGUAGUGCGAGAAGAAGCUCCGGCUAACUUCGUGCCAGCAGCCGCGGUAAU
rnacentral:rRNA from 1 species